rnacentral:tRNA from 1 species
UGAGGUGUGGCUCAGUGAUAGAGUGCUUACCUAGCAUGCACAAGGGACUGGGUUCAAUCCCCAGCACCCCAA